CAGAGUGAAAUUCUGAACCAAAGGGAAAGAUGCUGGUGUGACAUCAGCUCCAGGAUAAACUUUGCACCUGUGUGGUAUCCUCUCCUCCACAGUACGGCCAUGGAAUGGAGAAAGUUACUUCUCCGAGUCUGCAUGGCAAGCUUCCUGUGGAUCUUCCUGUCCUGGUCAGCCUUUCUUUCAUCCCAGAGUGGUUCACCCUUGCACAGGGCAUUUGAGACAAUGACUCAUCUCUGAGCUUCCAGCUUUGAAGAGGACUGAACUGUUUUCAAUAGAUGCCCACUGAAAGAUUAAACCGAUGAUGCAAAUGUAAAGAAAAUGAAGAACAGGGCGAGAUGGAAACAUCAGCCUCUGGCCAAGCCUCUUGGUUGCCUUCUGCCCCACACAAGAAGUCCGUACUUUUACAAAGGUGGUUCCUAGACCAUUCGACCCAGACUUCCAUCCUGAAAAGAGUCGGCUGUGCUGGGACAACACAGAAAGCUUCAUCUUCAUCAGAUUCUAGGAAGAAGCCUUUCUAGUGCCACAAGACAAAA